CCUUUGGAAGAUUGUCGGCGGUAAACAGUCUUGACAGGACGGAAAAAGGCGGCGACUCAGAUGAGGAACAUGCAACGGGGGUCAGUCUUCCCUCUUAGGCACGCAGCCUUCCAUCUCAAGGACCUCCGGCCAGCCCUCGAACUUGUUGGUGUCUGCGCUGCUCUUGAUGUGCUGCCAUAAACAACAAUAUACAAAUCAUGGGUUGUCCACAUGCAUAAAGAGCAUGUCGUCGUCGCCGUCCAAGAUGGAGUAAAACUGCAAACACACACAAAAGAAGAUGGAGGCAUGAGAACAAGAGAAAGGCUCCGAUGUAGCCAAAACUGUAGACAUCUUCGUGGAUGACGGCGAAGGUCUUGCCAAGGUCUUUGGUCCUCUUCAGCUGCAGAUCGCCCCUCUCUUCUGCAUCCACUACAACGACAGGAGAAGCCGAUGCUCGGCUGGUGUCAGGCUGACCUGGCACGACUCGAAAGCAGGACCGCCGGAAGCCUCGGAGGUGGCCGCGGAGGGAGUGCGAGUGCGCGUUUCGGCCCCGAAUCGGAGCAGAAGGCAGAGCGCCACGACUCGCCACCAGAUCAUGACCGCUGCCGGACAAAACUCGGGAGCCCCACAGUCGGUGUCCUCGGGCGGGAUGCGUGCGCGCAGAGUGGCGGGGGCAGAGGCAGAG